UAAGGAAUAUUGCUCAAUGGGAGAAAUCCUGAAGCAGCAACGCCGCGUGGAGGAUGAAGGGUCUAUGACUUGUAAACUCCUGUAAAGAAGGAAAAAAUUCCCAUUUGAUGGGAGAUGAUGGUACUUCUGGAGUAAGCCCCGGCUAACUACGUGCCAGCAGCCGCGGUAAUACGUAGGGGGCAAGCGUUGUCCGGAUUUACUGGGUGUAAAGGGUGCUCAGGCGGAUUUGUAAGUCAGAGGUGAAAUCUUACAGCUUAACUGUGAAACUGCCUUUGNUACUACAAGCCUAGAGUAUGGAAGAGAGUGAUGGAAUAUCUGGUGUAGCAGUGAAAUGCGUAGAUAUCAGAUAGAACACCAAUGGCGAAGGCAGUCACUUGGUCCAUUACUGACGCUAAAGCACGAAAGCAUGGGUAGCAAACA
rnacentral:rRNA from 1 species